rnacentral:lncRNA from 1 species
GAGCUAGGGGAUCAGGUUUAGAUAAUCCAACCAUGGCUGGCUGUGGAUGGAAAGUUCAAGAAUCCAGUAGUUGCUCAGUCCCACAAGGCUGGAUGUCUCAGCACCUGCUGGAAUUCCAAAGAACUAGGCUCCAGUGCCCGUGAAGUGAUGAAUAUCGAGACAGGAUUUCUCUGUAUAGCCCUGGCUGUCCUGGAACUCACUUUGUAGACCAGGCUGGCCUCGAACUCAGAAAUCAACCAGCCUCUGCCUCCCAAGUGCUGGGAUCAAGGGGUGCGCCACCAUGCCCGGCUUUUUUUUUUUUUCUUUUAAUUCAAGGUCUUAAAUGUGAACGAGAUAUUGAAUGGGACUGGGAAUUUCCUGUAAUCGUUUACGUAACAAUUACUCCUCAUUUACAUUUCUCCCUCCUCCCAAACCUCCUCUGAGGGAAGACUGAAGUAGGGUCUCUUGUAGCUCAGGCUGACCUCAAGUUUUGCAAAACAGCUGAAGAUGACCUUGAACUCUAAAUCUUCCUGACUCCACAUCCCCAAGCUGGGAUCAUAGGUUUUAAUUUUAGGGAUGUGCUAGAAAGAAAGACGGCAUGGUGGCUAAGAACAUAUCCUGCUCUUCCAGAAGACCUGAGUUCCAUCCCCAGCACCCACGCUGGUGGUUCACAACCGCCUGUAACUCCAGCUCCAGAGGACUCGAUGCCUCUAUAGAUACUACAGUCCUGUCACGUAUCCACCCCACAGACAAGCACAAGUUAAAAAUGAUUUUUUUAAAGUAGGGACUGGAGACUUGACUUAACAGUUAAGAGCACUGACUGCUCUUCCAAAGGUCCAGAGUUCAAUUCCCAGCAACCACAUGGGCUCACAACCAUCUGUAAUCCAAAGCUCUCUCUGUUUUCUGAUAUAUAUAGAGUCACACUGUGUGUCUGGCCUGACAGGCCUGGAUCUCACCGUGUUGCCCACACUAGCACUUGCUUUCUUCAUUUCUCCCCUGUUCUUUGCCACUGGCUCUUCCACUCCACUGUGGGAAACAAUAGGUGUGUGUGAGUGUGUAUGUGUGAGUGUGUGUAUGUGUGUGGCAAGCUCAUUAUACUUUUCAUUGUGAGAUAAUAAACUGGCCUGGAACUUACUGUGUAGCCCAAGGCUGUCCUUGAACUUGUAAUUCUGCCUCGGUGUCUCAAGUGCUGGAAUUAUAGUCAUGAGCCACCCCCAUCCCCGCUUUACCUUCUCUCUUUUAGAUAGUGUCUCAUUUGUAAUUUUUUUUUUUUUUUUUUUUUUUUUUUUUUUUGGUUUUUCGAGACAGGGUUUCUCUGUAUAGCCCUGGCUGUCCUGGAGCUCACUUUGUAGACCAGGCCUGCCUCUGCCUCCGGAGUGCUGGGAUUAAAGGUGUGCGCCACCACGCCCGGCUUCAUUUGUAAUUUGAUGGCCUUAUUGGAAAGUGUGCAAACCAGGAAGCAGGAAGACUAGGAGGGUCGCUGAUCACUCUUUGCUCUCUCUGCUUCCUGGUGGCCUUGAGGUGAGCAACUCUGCUCUAUUCCACCCUCCCCAACAUGCUAUUCUGUCUCACCUCAGACCUAAGACAAUGCAGCCAACCGACUGUGAGCUGAAUCUCCCUAAGUUGUUUUUUCAGGCAUUUUGUCACUGUGUCUUGUUGUGGUUUGACUCCCCCCAGCCCCACAAGCAUAGAUGUAGCCAUUUUGUUCUAUGCCUGCCAGUCAUUGAUACAGAGAAAUGACUCAAUUUAGAGCAGGAUCAUGCUGACCACAUACCCUGUUUUGUUCUGAAUGUUUAAGGUUUGUUAAUCUUAAGAAAUUCCACAAAGCUUCGUGUAGGACUCAUUGAGUUAAAGGUCAAUGUGAACUGUUAUGUCUAAAAUAUCUUGAGUCAAAGCUGACCACCAGGCAGCACUUCAUAAGCUCAUUGCACUGAGUAUGAACUCAUUGCGUGUGUGUGUGGGUGUGUGUGGUGUGUGUGUAUGUGGUGUGUGUGUGGUGUGGUGUGUGUGUGGUGUGGUGUGUGUGUGUGUGUGUGAUCCUUUAUAAGCCAACAAAGAAAGAUGGCCAUUUUCAUAGUUUCAGACCCAAUUCUGAACUAUGUCCCUGGUCUG